rnacentral:rRNA from 1 species
AGUGAACGCUGGCGGUAGGCCUAACACAUGCAAGUCGAACGGCAGCACAGUAAGAGCUUGCUCUUACGGGUGGCGAGUGGCGGACGGGUGAGGAAUACAUCGGAAUCUACUUUUUCGUGGGGGAUAACGUAGGGAAACUUACGCUAAUACCGCAUACGACCUACGGGUGAAAGCAGGGGAUCUUCGGACCUUGCGCGAUUGAAUGAGCCGAUGUCGGAUUAGCUAGUUGGCGGGGUAAAGGCCCACCAAGGCGACGAUCCGUAGCUGGUCUGAGAGGAUGAUCAGCCACACUGGAACUGAGACACGGUCCCGACUCCUACGGGAGGCAGCAGUGUGGAAUAUUGGACAAUGGGCGCAAGCCUGAUCCAGCCAUACCGCGUGGGUGAAGAAGGCCUUCGGGUUUUAAAGCCCUUUUGUUGGGAAAGAAAAGCAGCAGGUUAAUACCCCGCUGUUCUGACGGUACCCAAAGAAUAAGCACCGGCUAACUUCGUG